CAUUCCCUUUUCUUUUCUUUCCCGUAAUUCCCUCAAACACUCAAACUCACUCUCUCUCUCUCCCCGUCGAGUUCUCUCACACUCCCUUUCUCUUUCUACACUCACGGACUAACACAAAGACCUUCAAAAACUUCACAGAUCGAGGAAAAUAAAACCACCAUCGUCUUCAUCUCGACGAUAUGAGUCCAACCAUACCUAUUUCAGGAGUUUUCAAGCUUGUAGGAAUAGUGAGGUCCUUAGGAGGCUCGGGGUAGUUCGUUGGAAAAUUUUGGACGUAAGAACACGGAGAUCGACAAGUUCAAGUUUGACCCGUGCCUUUCGAGGCGUUUUCCGGCUAAACCACGGAGAGUUAGACGUCGUGCGAGUUUCCGGCGAGUCCGACAGCUUUCGAGGCUUUUUUCGGUGAAUCCACGCCGCGUUAGGGGUCAAGGCAGAUAUGGAUGUGUUCGUCUCGUCAAUACCUUCAUUUUGAUAUAAAUUACGUCGAAAAUGGUUAAGAAAUGAAGAAGUUAUGACACUUUGAAGUUUACCCAGAAAUUCCGGCAAAACACCCACCUUCGGCGAAACCAGUCCGGCGACGCGAGGAAGAAGACGCGCGCGUGGGCAGCGCGUAUAGGUGGCGCGUGAGGGCGCGUGAGAGGUCCAAAUUCCGUUCUAAAAAUUGUCACGUGUUCAUGACGUCGUGUAGAUCACCGUGGUAUAUUCACAUACCCAAAUUGAGCAACAUAUGAGAAAGUUAUUGACGAAUGUUUGUGUAUGUGCGUUUAAAUGAUGUUUUAUAAUUAUUUUUGUAUAAGUGAAAAUUAUAUGGACGAAGAAAGUAACCAAAAUAGGCGAGGGGGUUACGAACCGGCUACUUAUCAGUGAGUGGGCAGUUAUUUUUUAAGUAUAUAUAUAUGUAUACUUGACGUA